rnacentral:rRNA from 1 species
GAGGAAUAUUGGUCAAUGGACGGAAGUCUGAACCAGCCAUGCCGCGUGCAGGAAGACGGCCCUACGGGUUGUAAACUGCUUUUAUGUGAGAAUAACCCUAGUCUUGCGAGAUUAGCUGAAGGUAUUACAUGAAUAAGGAUCGGCUAACUCCGUGCCAGCAGCCGCGGUAAUACGGAGGAUUCGAGCGUUAUCCGGAUUUAUUGGGUUUAAAGGGUGCGUAGGCGGGCUAAUAAGUCAGUGGUGAAAUCACUCAGCUUAACUGAGUAACUGCCAUUGAUACUGUUAGUCUAGAAUAUAAAUGGUGCAGGCGGAAUGAAUCAUGUAGAGGUGACAUUCAUAGAUAUGAUUCAGAACACCGAUCGCGAAGGCAGCUUGCAAAGAUAUUAUUGACGCCGAGGCACGAAAGCGUGGGUAGCGAAC